UUUUGUACUCUACGUGGCCACUUACUGCCACUCAAUAAAGUAUUAACAAUCAAAGGAAGAAAAGUCAAUAAAAGAAAAGAAGACAGAGAGAUAUGAAAUGUGUGGGGCUGUGCAAAAUUUGCAGCAGCCUCCAAUCCCCUUCAAUUUCCACUCACUCUUACCUCCCCACCACUACCAUAAAAAUCAUUAAAGUUGAGAGAAAGAAAAUGAGUGUGCUGCCCACCACCCUUGUUCCCCAUCUCUUCAGCCGCCCUCUUUUAAUAUCAACUCCCAUCAACCAACAACUCCUUCUCAUAUAAUCUCUUUUUAAGCUAGCAUUCCUCUCAUUUUCUUCAUUGGCGCAUCGGCAAUCAAACGAAAAGGGAGAUUCAUUGUGCUGCCAGAGUUUCUAUCCAUUGAACUCCAGAGCAACUAACCAAAAACACAAGAACAUUCAAGAGUUAGGGCCGAACCUCAACUGCUGGAACGAAGAAGGAAAACGGCGAACUCUCGUCGUCUUGCCUGCAUCGGAAAGAAGGGCUGACAGCCCGAUGGGGACGACGACGACGGUCGGGACAGGGCGAACUCGCCCAACCUCAUCAGGGCCCCGAACAGCAGCUGCCCGGCGACGAGCUGAGACUUGUGCGCAGCAGCAGCGUCCAGGGGCAGCAGCGACGCGGUGAGAGGCGUAGGCCUUCUUACUCCAGUCGCCGGAGGAGAGAAUCGCCGGAGGCAGCUGACGCCGAUCAGAUCAGAGCCGAGCAGGGGCUCGAGUGCAGCAACCGCGGACGCUCGACAGCGGCGUCCUUCCCUUUUCUGAAAUCUAGGGCUCGACGUCAGAGCGGGAUUUAUGAGGAUGGGAGACGAACGGCGCUGCUUCCAGGAGGCGACCGCCCGUCGGAUUCCAGAUGGAGGUGCGACAUCGGCGAUGACUUCCUUAGAUUCAGGGCUCGAUUGGGUUCUGCGGAUGGACCAAAGGAGCAGAAAGAGAACGGUGCCGGGGUUAGACGCGUCAACAGACGACGCCGGCCGAAGCAAGCGACGGCUGAACGGCCGGAGAAGGAGGGCCGAUCGAGCGCCGAUUUUGAAGAAGAAGGAAGAGAGGCUCCGGCUGCUGUUGGGUGCGGUGGAGGAAGAGUGAGAGGGAGACUUGAGGUGAGGGGAUGAGAGAGGAGGCGGAGCCGCCGGCCUCCGGGGACGGCGCUGCCGUCCGGUGGCGGCGGCAGGAGGGCGCAGAGAGCGAGAGAGAGUGGGCGGAUCUUUCAA